rnacentral:lncRNA from 1 species
AUUUACAGCUUUCGAAGACGGAGGAAAAUUCCAUGCAUGAACCUGCUCCAGAGCCGGGCGUCCCCUCCCUGGAUGAAGAGUGUGAGGGUGGACGAUGGCCUGAGUGGCAUCGAAAAAGAAUCCCGCUUCUCAGCCCGGCCGUCUCCUCCUUCCAUGGCUCUGUGUUUUCACACGUGUUGCUGUAAGUGACCGAUAUGUGGUGGGGAUUUGGGUCUUUUAAAUCAAUACUACUUUCGUGUGGUUUCUGCAAUUUGCAUUUUUACUCAAUUUUCUCGUGUCCUGCUUCAGCGCCUUUCCUGCGAAUGUGUUAAGUUUCUUCAUCCAUUUCCCUCUUGGUGAAGGUUUAGGUGGUUCGUUCUGAGAAACAGUGGUUUUGGGGGAGUUAGGGGCUCCCGAGGUCUCACGCUGUCCCCUGCCAGCCUGGCACUUCCUCCCAGUCUGGGGUGGCUUUUGUUGCUGGGACUGGCUUUAACUCCGUUUACAGAGCCUUUUACAAGGAAGCAUUAAACUUUAAUGCGGUCCAGCUGGUCAAUCUUGUUCUAUUGUUGUGUGUGCUGUUUCUUUCGUGUUUCUAUCUCGAAGAUGUGCACUUUAGUUCAGCAGGAAUCAGUUGAGAAGAGGCAGUGCAACCUUGUGGGUGAACGAGCUGUAGUUUCCUAACCAUUUCUCAGCUAUUUUUACAACGCUGUUUCUGACCAGUAGUGACUGCGGGAUGUGUGCUCCCUGACCUGUUUCUCGAAAGGACUGGUUUCAUCUGCAUCACCGCCCCCUGCCCCAAGAAUGCACUGGAGCCGCUGGGAACCCACGUUCGGAAACGUCUCUGGUCCUCAGGCACCUGCCCCUUCUCUUGGUAUUUGCCAUCACAUGGUCCAGACGGUGCACCAGGCUUUGGCAAUGCAGACUGAUGAGGGCUCUCGGGCCGCAGGUGAGAGAGACAUUAGAACGACGCCAUUGGGAUGCUACACAGGGACAGAAGUGACAUGCACUGGACACACGUGCCACGCUGGAGGCGUGCCGGUCUGGCGGUGCCUCGGGCGUGCAGGCGGGAAUGCACUCAUCGGAUGCUCAGUGGGCAGCCCUCUGCUCAUUUCUGCAGUGCACUGAGGAUGGAUAGCGUGGUUGCUUUUGGUUUAACCAUUAAACGGUGCUCACCACCUACUGACAUCACGAUUCCGUAUGUUUGGGCAACAAAUCCCCAUGUCGGAGGUGAUAAGAGGGUCCCUGAGCGCCUAGACAAUUAAAAAACGGCAGCCUGGUGACUGGCCACCGUGUCCCAGAUGGUCUGGGCUAAGUCUGGACUUUCCCCCGAUGCCCUGGGGAGGCUCCUAUCAGGUGCCUGUCAGGCAGAGGCUGGAGGCAGCUGAAACUCCUUUGUAACCCAGCAUCUGCCAUCCUUGGUCUCUGUUCUAAAAAAACGGGCCCCGGAGAGAGAAGCCACCCCUCUGUGCUUACCCGCAGGUCAGCACAGUUGGGGACAGAUGGUUAGACCACGAGAGGCCCGGAAGCCUGUGACCGGGAGCUCCUUAGGUGUUCAGGACCUUAAAAUGCCUCCACGCUCGUGGGUGGUUCAACCCUCGGGACAACCCAGAGAAAGGUCCUGCGUCCCCCCUCCCCUGCCCCACGACAGUGCUGAGACCCAUCAUGGUUGAAUGUCUUCUGGGGGAGGAGGGGCCCGGAUGAGAGCAGCAGCUGGUCGGGUGCUCAUCCCAGCCUCCCACCCAGAGAGCCUCGGACACACGGACCGGCACGGGCUGAAUCGGAGAACAAGCUGAUGUGUUAGGAGUGGUGGAGUGGUGGCAGCCUCAUUCACCACAGCCCAGAGGGGAACCACCCAAACAGCCAUUGAUGGAUGGAGGGUGGAUAAGAAAAUGCGGUCCUUUUACGCAAAUGGAAUAUUACUCAGCCCUCAAAAGGAAGGGGAUCCUGCCACCUGCCACAACAGGGAGGGACCUUGAGGACAUGGUGCCCAGGGAAAUAAGCAGACACAGAAGGACAAACAUGGGGUGAUCCCACUUAUGUGAGCUCCCUGGUCAUCGGAUUCACAGAGAUGGAAAGCAGAAUGGGGGGGCACUGGGGACUGAGGGCGUAGGAAGGAGGAUUCAUGUUUCAUGGGGACAGAGUCUUGGCUUGGGAGACGGAUGGUGGUGACCGUCACACAACAUUGUGAAUUUUCCUGUGAAUGCACUGCAUUGCACGGAGCACUUAAAAAUGGUUAAAAUGGGGCGUCCCAUGGGGGUGCAGCAGAUUAAGGAUCCAGCAUUGUCACUGCUGUGGUUCAGGUUGCUGCAGUGGUGUGGGUUUGAUCCUUGGCUCGGGAACUUCCACAUGCCAUGGGCACAGCCAAAAAAAAAAAAGUUAAAAUGGUAAAUUUCAUGUCUAUUUCGCAAAUUUUAAAAAUAAUAAAAAUAUUUUAAAAAACGAAAAAAAGGAAGCUUUCCAGCUAGUUCUCAUGCCACUAAAACUUGCCC